AGUUGGUAGCCCUUGCAAGAAAAUUUUCCACACAGCACAAAAUAUAGAAUGAUUUCCGUUCAUCUGUCUUUCGUUCUCAAACACUAGAGCAGUAAAGAGUUGCUUCGCAAUUCUUUCCUAACUUCAAUAAGAAAAUGAGAGCUAAGUGGCGUAAGAAGCGUAUGCGUAGGUUGAAGCGUAAACGCAGGAAGAUGCGUGCAAGGUCUAAAUAAACACGGCAAUCUACCAAUUGAAUAUGAAUUCCAUUCAUCCCGAUGUACAAAACAAAAUUUGCUUCUAGUGUUCUUUUAAAACAGAGUUUUAAAGUUAUCUGACUAAAAGAUAUUUUUUAAUAAAAUUUGAAAGAAUCUUGAAGUGAAAAAGGAGAAAAA